CUAAGCUGAGUCUCAGUGCUGUGCUCCAAUCCGUUCCUGCAAUGCUCUAACUACUGCUUUGUUACUGCAGUGAAUACCUAAAGGACAGAGCAUCAUUUCAGGAAGAUGAGCAACUAACCCUCGGAGGCCUUACACUUGAUAUGCUGGAAGAGUACCUGAACAAUAUAGCUAAACCAUAGAGGAAUUUCAGGAAGUGUUUCUUCAUGUCAGCUUUCCAUUUCAUCUAAUGUAGAAAAAGCCCUUGUCAAAAUUCUUUCUGCACCUUGGUGUUUGUCUUCCAGAUGGCUGACAGCCGAAUUUUGUUCAAAAAGGAUGACUAAAGCUGCAAUAGGUACAAAGCCAAGUUUCCUCUUGGAUUCUCUUCUUCCCCCUGCUGUGCCUCAUGUGGCUGGCAGAGCACUGCCAUUGUGGAACAGAGGUUGCUGGAAAUAAAUUCUUCUUAAGCAGACAGGCUUUUGUUCAGUUCUGACUCCAGGCUCCCAGCCCAGUCUUGAGCAAUCUGCACUGAGAAAACUCUGUGCGUCCGUGCUAAAAAGAGAAGAAUAAGGACUAUAAAGAGUUCCCAUGUUUCUUCCUCUAACUGCCAUGUUUGCCACGGAUGUCGGAACACACUGACACGUCCCACGGGGCAGCUUCUGCAGGUCCUUGCCUCAUGACACGGGUGCUCGUAAGUGUCACUGCUGGAGAUCUCUAUAUGUUAUAUAUAGUUCACAAAUUCUUCUUGGCAGUAAGACUGGAGACUCUACAAGAGUGCGUGUGGGUUAUUUCAGAAGGUAACAGAGGUCACAGCUUUCCCAGUAAUCUCCCUUCUCCUGAUUCCAUGCUCGCCAACUCCUUGUACUGCAGCAGGUCUCAACCUCUUCCUCUGUGAAGCUGUACAUGUGGAAAUACAGUAAAUACUUGAUUUUGGAUGCAGCUAAAUUUCUUUUUCAUCUAAAACAUUUAUUUAAA